rnacentral:rRNA from 1 species
AUUGAACGCUAGCGGCAUGCUUUACACAUGCAAGUCGAACGAGUGGCGGACGGGUGAGUAAUAUAUCGGGACCUGCCCGGUCGCGGGGGAUAACUACUGGAAAGAGUGGCUAAUACCGCAUACUAUCGGAUCAGCCGAUAUCGGAUUAGCUAGUUGGUGGGGUAAAGGCUCACCAAGGCGACGAUCCGUAGCUGGUUUGAGAGGACGACCAGCCACACUGGGACUGAGACACGGCCCAGACUCCUACGGGAGGCAGCAGUGGGGAAUAUUGGACAAUGGGGGCAAACCUGAUCUAGCCAUGCCGCGUGUAUGAGAAGGCCUUAGGGUUGUAAAGUACUUUUGGCAGAGAGGCGUUACCUGCAGAAGAAGCACCGGCUAACUACGUGCCAGCAGCCGCGGUAAUUC